AUUGAACGCUGGCGGCAGGCCUAACACAUGCAAGUCGAGCGGGGUUUUCGGACCUAGCGGCGGACGGGUGAGUAAUGCGUAGGAAGCUACCCGAUAGAGGGGGAUACCAGUUGGAAACGACUGUUAAUACCGCAUAAUGUCUACGGACCAAAGUGUGGGACCUUCGGGCCACAUGCUAUCGGAUGCGCCUACGUGGGAUUAGCUAGUUGGUGGGGUAAUGGCUCACCAAGGCGACGAUCCCUAGCUGGUUUGAGAGGAUGAUCAGCCACACUGGAACUGAGACACGGUCCAGACUCCUACGGGAGGCAGCAGUGGGGAAUAUUGGACAAUGGGCGCAAGCCUGAUCCAGCCAUGCCGCGUGUGUGAAGAAGGCCUUCGGGUUGUAAAGCACUUUCAGUAGGGAGGAAGGGGGUUGUGUUAAUAGCAUAGCAUUUUGACGUUACCUACAGAAGAAGCACCGGCUAACUCUGUGCCAGCCGCCGCAGUAACAC
rnacentral:rRNA from 1 species